CUUGUCAGGAUAUACUCAAUGAAUUCAGCAAGGGUAGUUCAGGAACUGCUGGAUACUGGUUUGGUCUGAGAGCUGAAGGAGGGAGAUGGAAGUGGAUUGAUGGAAGUGAUCUGAAUGAAAGCUACUGGACACCACAGCCUCCUCCUGCUACUGACAGUCAGUGUGUAAUGUCUGUCCAGACCAAUAACUGGAUAUCAGUGAGCUGUGAUCAGAAACAAAGAUGGAUCUGCGUAAUGAAGCCUUUAUCUGUUUAAACACAGCAGUCAGACUCUGCAUGAUAAUAUCAACUGGCUUAUAAAUAUCAAACUAUGAAGACUUCUACUUCACAAUUUAAAUGUUUUGUCUUCAAAACUAAAAAUGUUCAGGG